UCAUGAGUGGCCUGUCUUCCCGAGGCUGUAUUGGAGGCCCCUUGGCCGGGUAAUGACCCUUCAUGACUGACGAUAGAUUAUUCAAGGUAUCUACCUUUAGGGGCAUUUUCCUGGAGAUCAGGCCCAGAGGCAGUGACUUUCCUUUGUCCACCUGGGAGCAACAUGUAAAGAAGCUGAAAGUCCCAAGUGGCUUCUGGCCUGAAAAGUCCUUCAUUUACCUACAUCUGCCCCCUCUGACCCAGCCCUCCUUUCUACAGGGGUGUCACUGUGUGAGGGAACUCAAGCUAGUCUGCUGGAUAAUGAGACCAUAUGAAGCAGAAACAAACCAUCCCAGCUGAGAUGAGAUCACCAGAUGAAACACCCAACUAAGUCUAGCUCAAUUUGCAAAAAUAAAGUUGUUUUAAGCCAAAAACAGAAAAAUGUAUGAAUUUUAAAGA